AUUAUAUUUGAAAAUAAAAGUGAGCUAAUCUGUUCUUAUCAGCUUAAUAUCUGAUACAAUCCUCAUAGGGGAUUCAGAAUAUUAAACUGUUUUUUGAGCUAAGGCGGGUUUAUGGAGCUUGCUCCAGUCCUGCCAGGGUCGACCCGAUAUUGCAGUUUAUUCGAGACUGGCCUACAUAAA
rnacentral:snRNA from 1 species